rnacentral:ncRNA from 1 species
UUAAGGGGUGCUGCGAUAUUUCGCGGCUGAGAUCAAACCCUAUGACCUGAUCCGGGUAAUGCCGGCGUAGGAAGGCA